UCUAAAUUGGCUUUAUUCUUGUCUCCUUCUUUUUUCCUGGUGUUAAUUCCAGUGGUGGAUCUAACUGAGUGCUGGCACUUCCUUGGUAUGCUGUUUCCAACAUGCAGUUCUUUAUCUCUGCAUAUACCAUGACCAUAGCCAAGUGGCACCAUGUCCCCCAAACUCGCCAAGCCUCCUGGACACAACACUUCAACAGAAGUUCUCAAAGCCCAUGUCUGUUUGAGGAGAUGGAGAGAAAAUUGGUCAUCUACACAGUUUUCACAUCUGAUGAUCAGAAUUGGAAGAGAAAGAUGCAACCAGAAUGCUACUAGCCAACAGAAGGAAGACUGAGGUUGUGCCCCACAGGCCCAACUGAAGAACUAUCCAAGCUGUGCACAAAGCUUAUGUCAUGGUAAGAACAAGCUGCAAAUUUCAAAUGAGAUGACAAGAAUGACAUCUGGAAACAUUUCCUGGCAAAGAGGGCAUUUCUUCUCUCAUUUCUCGGGACUUGUUCUCUGCUUACCUCUAUCUGCUCCAGCUUCACACUGGAAGAGCCUGACCAUGAAAAUGCUGCUUCUCUGGCUUAUUGCAUCUGUCAAUUCUCCCUUAAAGAGAGUGUGGACAAAAUCUGAAGGGAAAGUGUGCUCACUCUGUGGACUCCCUGACACCUGCUAUUUCACUCAGUCUUCCUUCAAGAUGAAAGUAGAGUUUGAAGUGGAACCAUGUUUUUUCAGCCUUUCUGGAGAGUCUACAUGAUUUCAUCCAGGUCAGUUUUGAUGGUAAACUUCUCCUGGCAUAGAUUCUUCCUUUUGUCUCCCAAGUAAUGCAUUUAUUGUGCAUUACUUUUCUCCUCUAGUUUGUAUCACCUUCCAAUAUCUACUCCUGGGCCUCUAUGCCCUUUCAGGUUCCUCUUACUUCUUCCUGUCACCUUGUACAUGAGGUUGAAUAAACAACAGCUCGUUUCCUAAGUGGGACAGUGCCAUGGGAGUUCUCUAAGGGAGAAGAAUUGCCUGGGCUGAAUGAUGUGCUC
rnacentral:lncRNA from 1 species